rnacentral:other from 1 species
AGAUUCCUGCGGUGUACGUUAGGGUCCAACUGUUUUGAACCUUGAGUGUUUCUUGGGAGACAGAACUUGUUGGCGUAUGACAGGCCCACCUCUUGUAAAAGACGAUUGGGAAGUCAAAAACUGAUGACGGGUCACCCACCUGCGAGAGCAGGUUCUGAAACAUGGGGCUCGACGGCAUCUGCGGGGUACCU